rnacentral:rRNA from 1 species
GGCUCAGGAUGAACGCUGGCGGCGUGCCUAACACAUGCAAGUCGAGCGAAGCACUUAAGUUUGAUUCUUCGGAUGAAGACUUUUGUGACUGAGCGGCGGACGGGUGAGUAACGCGUGGGCAACCUGCCUUACACAGGGGGAUAACAGUUAGAAAUGACUGCUAAUACCGCAUAAGACCGCGGUACCGCAUGGUACAGCGGUAAAAACUCCGGUGGUGUAAGAUGGGCCCGCGUCUGAUUAGGUAGUUGGCGGGGUAACGGCCCACCAAGCCGACGAUCAGUAGCCGACCUGAGAGGGUGACCGGCCACAUUGGGACUGAGACACGGCCCAGACUCCUACGGGAGGCAGCAGUGGGGAAUAUUGCACAAUGGGGGAAACCCUGAUGCAGCGACGCCGCGUGAGCGAUGAAGUAUUUCGGUAUGUAAAGCUCUAUCAGCAGGGAAGAAAAUGACGGUACCUGACUAAGAAGCCCCGGCUAACUACGUGCCAGCAGCCGCGGUAAUACGUAGGGGGCAAGCGUUAUCCGGAUUUACUGGGUGUAAAGGGAGCGUAGACGGCAAUGCAAGCCAGAUGUGAAAGCCCGGGGCUCAACCCCGGGACUGCAUUUGGAACUGUGUAGCUAGAGUGUCGGAGAGGCAGGCGGAAUUCCUAGUGUAGCGGUGAAAUGCGUAGAUAUUAGGAGGAACACCAGUGGCGAAGGCGGCCUGCUGGACGAUGACUGACGUUGAGGCUCGAAAGCGUGGGGAGCAAACAGGAUU